rnacentral:rRNA from 1 species
UACAGAGACUGCAAGCGUUAUUCGGAUUCACUGGGCGUAAAGGGUGCGCAGGCGGACUGGUUAGUCUGGGGUGAAACCUCAUCGCUUAACGGUGAAACUGCCUUAGAUACUGCCAGUCUUGAAUCAGCGAGAGGUUCGUGGAAUUCCGAGUGUAGCAGUGAAAUGUGUAGAUAUUCGGAAGAACACCAGUGGCGAAGGCAGCGAACUGGCGCUCGAUUGACGCUCAGGCACGAAAGCAUGGGGAUCAAACAGG